rnacentral:pre_miRNA from 1 species
UGGGUUUGUCCUAAGUCAAACUGAUUUAAGUUUGACCAAAUUUUUAGGAAAGAACAUCAAUAUUUGUGACACCAAAUAGAUAGAAUAUGAAAAUAUAUUCCAUGAUAAAUCUAAUAAUACUUAUUUGGUAUUAUAAACAUUAGUACUUUUAUGUAUAAAUUUGGUCAAACUUCAAAUGGUUUGAUUUAGGACAAACCUAA